AAGGGAUCAGCAGUGACGUGCAAACUAAACGUGGGUGUGUAUUGUUUCCCCUGUCAGGCUAUCUUUUCGCGAACCAAAGUUGAACGCCACGACGACGAUAAUUCGGACUCGCGAUUGACUCCGGAUUGAGUGAUAAAUUUAGCACCAGUGGUUGACGGCCGUUGAAAACAAUUGUGGCAGUCGACGCCUUCGGACUGUCCAAGGAAUCUACGGGAGUCAAGGGAGAUUGCCCUGGAAGACUCCUAAUCCGAAAAACGUGGCC